rnacentral:rRNA from 1 species
UACGUAGGCAGCGAGCGUUGUUCGGAGUUACUGGGCGUAAAGAGUGCGUAGGCGGUUCUCUAAGUUUGGUGUGAAAUCUCCCGGCUCAACUGGGAGGGUGCGCCGAAGACUGGAAGGCUUGAGUAUGGGAGAGGUAAGCGGAAUUCCUGGUGUAGCGGUGAAAUGCGUAGAUAUCAGGAGGAACACCUGCGGUGUAGACGGCUUACUGGACCAUAACUGACGCUGAGGCACGAAAGCGUGGGUAGCAAACAGG